GAAUCCCACAGGCCGUAAACCCAAGGUUUCCAGGGGAAGGUUCGUCCGCCCUGGGUUAGUCGGGACCUAAGCUGAGGCCGAAAGGCGUAGGUGAUGGACAACAGGUUGAUAUUCCUGUACUACCGAUAACCGUUUGAGAGAAGGGAUGACACAGUAGGAUAAGCUAAGCACACUGUUGGUUAUGUGUGCCCAAGCAUUGAGGCAGUCAAAGUAGGCAAAUCCGCUUUGAUAAUGCUGGGAUGUGAUGGGGAGCGAAAUUUAGUAGCGAAGUAGCUGAUUUCACACUGUCAAGAAAAGUCUCUAUCGAGGUUAAAGGUACCCGUACCGCAAACCGACACAGGUGGGUGAGGAGAGUAUCCUAAGGCCAGCGAGAGAACUGUUGUUAAGGAACUCGGCAAAAUGACCCCGUAACUUAGGGAUAAGGGGUGCCACCAUCAGGUGGCCGCAGAGAAUAGGCCCAAGCGACUGUUUACCAAAAACAUAGGUUUCUGCUAAGUCGCAAGACGAUGUAUAGGAGCUGACGCCUGCCCGGUGCUGGAAGGUUAAGGGGAUCUGUUAGAGCAAUCGAAGCAGUGAACUUAAGCCCCAGUAAACGGCGGCCGUAACUAUAACGGUCCUAAGGUAGCGAAAUUCCUUGUCGGGUAAGUUCCGACCCGCACGAAAGGCGUAACGAUUUGGGCACUGUCUCAACAACAGACUCGGUGAAAUUGUAAUUCCGGUGAAGAUGCCGGAUACCUGCGACAGGACGGAAAGACCCCAUGGAGCUUUACUGUAGCUUGACAUUGGGUCUUGGUACUACAUGUACAGGAUAGGUGGGAGGCUUUGAAACCAGGACGCCAGUUUUGGCGGAGCCAUCCUUGGGAUACCACCCUUGUAGUACUGGGACUCUAACCAUAGGCCAUGAAUCUGGUCUUGGGACACUGUCAGGUGGGCAGUUUGACUGGGGCGGUCGCCUCCCAAAAGGUAACGGAGGCGCUCAAAGGUUCUCUCAGUACGGUCGGAAAUCGUACGUAGAGUGUAAAGGCAAAAGAGAGCUUGAUUGCAAGACAUACAGGUCGAGCAAGGAUGAAAAUCGGACUUAGUGAUCCGGUGGUUCUGCGUGGAAGGGCCAUCGCUCAACGGAUAAAAGCUACCCUGGGGAUAACAGGCUUAUCUCCCCCAAGAGUCCACAUCGACGGGGAGGUUUGGCACCUCGAUGUCGGCUCAUCACAUCCUGGGGCUGUAGUAGGUCCCAAGGGUUGGGCUGUUCGCCCAUUAAAGUGGUACGCGAGCUGGGUUCAGAACGUCGUGAGAC
rnacentral:rRNA from 1 species